rnacentral:snoRNA from 1 species
CCCCUCUCAGGGUUGACCUGGAGAGUUUCCAGUACUCUACCAGUCUCAGCUAUGGGAGAAAGAGUCAAGCAGAUGCCUACCCAUUCCAUUCCUAGCUUGGGCAGUGGCUAGCGAGUGGAAGGAAAUCUGCUACAAGU